rnacentral:misc_RNA from 1 species
UCUUUUCUUUUGAUAGGAGAGUUUUUAAAACCAGUGUUAUUUUUGUAAGUUUAAGAGAAGUUUGUGUAUUGAAUUUUUUAUUUUUAAUAUUAAAGAGCUUUGUUAAACUUAGACUUAAGUUUAGGUCAUUUUGGGGGUUUAGCUCAGUUGGCUAGAGCAUCGGCUUUGCAAGCCGAGGGUCAAGGGUUCGAGUCCCUUAACCUCCAUUGGGCUUAUGUCCUAAAUCGUAAUUAAGUAUGUUUUUAAGUAACUUUGUUAAAGUAAUUGUUGGAAUGUGAAACAGAGGAAGUUAAAAUUUCUGGGUUAAGUUGAGAUCUGUUGAUAUUAAGAAGAAUCUCUAGAAGCAAAAGCAAGCUUUCGAUAAAACCCGAAGUUGUUUCGCUAAAGUGCAAGGAUUAAACAGGAUUGUAUUUUCCAGUAGCCUAUUUUAUAAACGAUCUGCAUUUAGUAAAUAGUUUUUAGUUAAGAAAUAAUGUAGAUUGCUAAGUGUGAUGCC